rnacentral:rRNA from 1 species
GUUCGUUCUUUAGUCAGAUGUGAAGCCCGGGGCUCAACCUCGGAACUGCAUUUGAAACUGGUGAACUAGAGUACUGUAGAGGGGGGUAGAAUUUCAGGUGUAGCGGUGAAAUGCGUAGAGAUCUGAAGGAAUACCAGUGGCGAAGGCGGCCCCCUGGACAGAUACUGACACUCAGAUGCGAAAGCGUGGGGAGCAAACAGGAUUAGAUACCCUGGUAGUCCACGCCGUAAACGAUGUCUACUUGGAGGUUGUGGCCUUGAGCCGUGGCUUUCGGAGCUAACGCGUUAAGUAGACCGCCUGGGGAGUACGGUCGCAAGAUUAAAACUCAAAUGAAUUGACGGGGGCCCGCACAAGCGGUGGAGCAUGUGGUUUAAUUCGAUGCAACGCGAAGAACCUUACCUACUCUUGACAUCCAGAGAAUCCAGCGGAGACGCAGGUGUGCCUUCGGGAGCUCUGAGACAGGUGCUGCAUGGCUGUCGUCAGCUCGUGUUGUGAAAUGUUGGGUUAAGUCCCGCAACGAGCGCAACCCUUAUCCUUGUUUGCCAGCGAGUAAUGUCGGGAACUCCAGGGAGACUGCCGGUGAUAAACCGGAGGAAGGUGGGGACGACGUCAAG